rnacentral:rRNA from 1 species
ACGGAAGGCAGCAGUGGGGGAUAUUGCACAAUGGGGGAAACCCUGAUGCAGCGACGCCGCGUGAGCGAAGAAGUAUUUCGGUAUGUAAAGCUCUAUCAGCAGGGAAGAAAAUGACGGUACCUGACUAAGAAGCUCCGGCUAAAUACGUGCCAGCAGCCGCGGUAAUACGUAUGGAGCAAGCGUUAUCCGGAUUUACUGGGUGUAAAGGGAGCGUAGACGGUUUGCCAAGUCUGAUGUGAAAGGUGGGGGCUCAACCCCCAAACUGCAUUGGAAACUGGUAGACUAGAGUGUCGGAGAGGUAAGUGGAAUUCCUAGUGUAGCGGUGAAAUGCGUAGAUAUUAGGAGGAACACCAGUGGCGAAGGCGGCUUACUGGACGAUAACUGACGUUGAGGCUCGAAAGCGUGGGGAGCAAGCAGGAUUAGAUACCCUGGUA